UGACUGCUACUUUUUUCUACUUCAACCUUUUAAAUGCCCUGGGAACAAAACCACAAAUGGGGGUGGGGGAGCGGCAGUACUCUUGGAGCUGAAACAAUGGAAUGGAAUGAAAAGUGAAUGGCACAAGGUGUCAGGCCUGGGUUCUAGUGCAAGUUCUGUGGUCCUCCCCAGGCUGGAGUGCCUGGUUCUCUGUGGUCUAGGUUAGUGUUUACAAACUUACAACAAAUAUUUACCUUUGGAAUGUAGGAGCAAGAAAUUAGCAUUCUCAAAAAUUCCCUCAAUCAUAAGUUACUCUUAAAAUACUUCAUUCUUCCUGCGCUUUCCCCAUUGUAGAUAUUUGAAAACUGUGUGUCUAACAAACAGGCAUGUUAAGCUCAGUAGUAGUUACAGAGAACUGUGGCCUAUAGGGAAUAUUUAAACAUUAGAAAAUGCCAGGGAACCUUAUUGGAUAGUAUUCAAAUAAUGCUAACAUUCACAUAUCCUAGCAGGGUUAACAGUACACAGGGUCAUGUGUCAAAAUUGCCAAACUGAGAAUUUAUUUUGCUUCCAAAGCUUAUUUCUUGGAAUACUGCUGAUAGGAUUUGUGUGAAGUAUACUAUAGCAGUGUAUAAACUUACUGCAUUGGCAAGAAUAACUCACGGUUUGCAGCAGACAGGGCUACCGACACACACACAUAUGACAGGGCAGCGAUCACACGCCAGACUGAGGAGAUGGUACCCAUUUCUCUCCUGCAUGCUCCUGUCCUGGUUGUCUGAACCUUCAACUCCACGUGUUAGUGUUUCUUGCUCUUGCUUUUUAUUUGAUGAAGGUGAGUCCCUUCAAGCCAGUAACCUCUCUAUGCUUUUAGGCUUUGGUAUUCAUGGAUAAUUAUAAUGCCUCUUCUCAUUUCUUCAACCGAUUUUUCUGGGGAUUCUGUAUACAAAAAACAUGUAUUUCCUGGGGCCGGCCCCGUGGCCAAGUGGUUAAAUUCGUGCACUCUGCUUCAGUGGCCCAGGGUUUCACCAGUUCGGAUCCUGGGCACAGACCUAGCACCGCUCAUCAAGCCACGCUGAGGUGGCAUCCCACAUAGCAGAACCAGAAGGACCUACAACUAGAAUCUACAACUGUGUACUUGGGGUCUCUGGGGAGAAGAAGGAGGGAAAAAAAACAAAAAGAUUGGUAACGGAUGUUAGCUCAGAUGCCGAUCUUAAAAAAAAAAAAUUUAUUUCCUGAGAAAUGCUGGGAAGGAAUUCCCACACGGAAACACCAGUCUAGGUCCUGGCCCCAGCUCCCACAGCAUCAUUCUAGGAGGACAGUGAGGUCUAGUGGCCAAACCAUGUAAGCUGGAGUUAUGCAGACCCUAAAAAUCCUUGAACAACGCUCAAUCUGUCCCCUCAUCUAUAGAGUGAAGAUACUAUCACCAACCUCCACAUCUGUGGGGAGAAGUAAACAAUGCAAUAAAUGUUUAAGUGCCAGACCAACUUACCAUAUAGAUGUUUUAAGAACUAAUAACUUCCUUUAGAGUUGGCUACAGCAGGCUCUCUGGGUCUUUGGCCUAUAAAGAAAGAUAUCCAACCUCUUUGAAAGAGGCAAUAAGAGCAGCAGGUUUAGAAUCAAAACUGGGUUCAGAGCAUAGCUCUGACACUUAUUUUAGGUGUCUUACACUCUCUGAUCUCAGGUUACAUCUGCAAAAUGAGAACACUGAGUUAUAAGGUAAAAAUAAUUAAGAACCUAACACUACCUGGCAGAGAGAGCUGGUGUUCUGUCCCUCUCCCCUCCCAUUCCUAUAGUCAACGGUGACACUGAGGCAAAGGAAGGCCACCAACAGUUUUCAAUGCACGGUCAGCAUAGAAAAUGACCCAAUGAAGGCCACAGAGGGAAAGAAAAAUCUGCUUUGGAAUUAGUCCUACUUUAAGAAAGUUCAAGGAAAAAAUGUUGGAUUUUGCCAAUUCCAACAAUUAGAAAAUAACUAUGGACUACAGAGAAAGCUUUAGUUAUUCAUAUCCUUUAAACAUCAAUUUGGGAAAUAUUUGCCAAACCCUGUGGAAGACAUCAAAUAGAUUCAGACACGCCCCUGACCUCGAGCAGCCCACAUUCUAGAAAUAGGAGGCUGGUUGUGGUGCACGAGGAUAACAGGGACACCACAGCAGGAGAGAUUCCUUCCAACCAGGGGAGCCAGGCCUUGCAAAGGAGCAGCCAGGUUUCACGAGCAUUCAUGCAUAAGGGCACUCCAGGCAGAAGGGAUGGCCUGAAAUCAGGGGUAAUAUCACACAGCAUAUUGGAGCCAUCCACUUGCCAGAGUUGGAGACAAGGUUAUGAAGGGCCUUCAAAGCCAGACCGAAGACAGAUAAAAACUAUAGACUAUUGGUGGUGAGCACGAUGUAGUCUAUACAGAAACUGAUAUAUGAUAAUGUACACCUGAAAUCACACAAUGUUAUAAACCAAAAAAAGAAAAAAGAAAGCCAAAGCAAGAAAUUGGACUUUAUCCUGAAAGCAAUAACGGGCAGUCCAUUUGGGGUCCCCAGAACGUUUUCACAAGAUUUUCACACUUACACAAGAUUUUCAUAUGUAUCACAAACAUCUGUUGUAAAAAGGGACACCACCAUUAUCAUUCUCUUUAUUCUUCUCCUGAGGCAGUCCAAGAAGCACAGGAGGUGUCAGAACUAGAGCCAGGCAAAACCCCUCCCACACACCCUUCCCUCGGGGAAGAAAGGCCCAGGAUACCACAGAUAUCUGUGGACCCCUACCCAAACUGCCCAUGGUCUCCCCCAAGGAGGGUUACCUUGUGAUAGAGGCACAGAGAGGCCUUUGGUCAAGUCUCUCUUCUCACCCCACAGGGCUCUGCCUUCUCUGCUCUCUUCCCCCUAAGACCCGUGGAGCAGGUAUAGGAGAGCACCAGACACAGGGCGAGCAGGCCUGGCUGUACCCUUCAUAAUGCAACACGUCACCCCCUUUCUGGACCUCAGUGCAGUUCAGUUUCCUUUAGGAAUCUAUAAAAUGGAGAUUGGCUUAGACCACUGGUUCACAAACUUUUAACAGAGAAAACUUUUAAAAAAAACCCCAAAGCUUACAAGGGAGCUCAAUACAUAAAUAAAAGCACAGUUGUACUGGUUGAAUUAUGGGUGGGGGGGCCUCAUAUCCUUACCCGCACACCGAGGCAGCCCCCAGAGUACCUUCUGUCAACCCCUGGGGCUCUGUGGAGUAAGUCUGAAAAACACUGGUCCAGCAAUUCCCCAGGGUUCUUUCCUACUUUAGGAUGUUCAGCUUCAAUGCUCAAGUGAAAUAGUAUGGCGGGCUCAGAACCUGUGUCUCCACUGAGAAAGGCCCCAGAAGCUUCUGCUGUCUGUCACAUUCAGGCCAGGAAGAGUCAAGACCUACUCCCAACCCAUGAGGCUGUGUCUAAGCCCUAAUGUUUCCCUUGUCCUACAAACUCUUGAGGCCCAUUCCCAGUCCCACCUCCUCAAGACUCUGGAACAACAAACACCAUCUUUCGCCUGGAGAAAUAAUCCUGCUUGUCCCUGAAAUUCCACCAUUAGGAAUUCAUCCUUUUGGAUGAAGUGCUUGCCAGUUUCCCAAAAGGUGCAUUCAUCCCACACAGUUCUGGCUGAAGAGGUCAUGAGGUCCAUUCCUCCUCCUGAGAAGGAGAGGAAUUACAUCUUGGGCACUCGAGGUAGGCACAGUGACUGCAGGAGAAGGUGACAAACCUCACCCUCACUGCCACCUCCCCUGGAUCCCUACACACAGCCAUCAUCACCCUCCCACCCCCUGGCCACCUUUAAGCAUGAAGCACUCAGAGAAAAGUUCCACUGGGUUCUUGCCUGGCCCAACUGGCCCAGCCUCCUCUUCCAGCCUUAGGAGCCUCGGACCUUCAGCCUUCACAAGUUACUUAGCUCCUCUGUGCUGACAAAAACAUGGAAUCCAGAGAUGCCAGGAGGCAGAAAGAGGCCUCCCCUUUCCCAGAGUGCAGCUGAUGAAGGCUAGAGGCAGCCAGCAGGACGCACAAAAAGCCUCCCCCACUCAGUCCUCCUCCAUGCCCUCCUCCAGCCACUUCAAAUACUGCACAUCUCCUUGGUCCAUGAGAAGACUGAAGAUCUCUGGGAUUUCAAAAGGAUGCACCAACCUUUAGAAAGAAAGCAGAGCCCUGUGAGUGACUAUGAUUAGAAUCAGCCCAUGCAAUAAAACCUGACUGGCCCGCCUCACUCAAGGCCCUCUGCAACGUGCUGCAGCCCCCUGUCCAGGACCGUGGCCCACCACUCCUGAGCCUACGCUUCCCACCUGUCAGCAAGCAGUGAGUUGGACCAGACGGCUUUAGAGUCUCACAGACAUGGGUUCAAAUUCUGAGUAUGCCCCUUACUAGCUAUGUAACCAUGCACAAAUCGCUUAAUUUCUCUAAAGGCCCUACAAAAGAAGAGUUAAAAAUAGCACCUACAUGGCUGGACUGCUGAGAAUUAAAUGAGACGAGGUCUAGAGAGUGCUGAUCUGGUACACUGACUGGUACUGUAUGCAUGCAUUAAGCGUUAGCUACUGUCUUUAUUACCAUCCCACACUCGUCACUGUGCCUUCCCCAAACAACGCCCCGCCUCAAUACCUCUGCAUUUUCUUCCCCUCCUACAAAGUUCUCUCUGCUCCUGUUGAUCAAUCAAAAGCCUCUCUAUUCCUCAAGGCCCAACUCAACCACUGACCUUUUCCAAGGGAUCUUCCUUGACCAGCCAAACCAAAAGGAAUCUCUCCCUUCUCCCCACUCUUUCACCCAGCCCUGAGCACACAAUGCAAGUUCUCUUCACUUUCCAGACUGAAGUAACAUGGGGCCUUGGGCCUCAGUUUCCCAUCUGUCAAGUGGGGGUAAUAAUCAUCCUCUUCUUUUUUGCUGAGUGAGGCACUGUAAAAUGCUCAUGAGACAGCAUGCUUAAUAAAUCACAACAUAUGUAUAGGUGCUUAAAGAUUUGGAGUCAGGUGGGUAAUUUCAUCCAGUGCCCAAGGAUAAUGAAUUUUCUUAACUUAUUCCAUGGACACUUAGACCAGUAUAUAUAUUUUUAUAAACAGACAGAUGAGUUCAGUGCAUGUCUGAAUACUGUAUUCAGACAUAUAGAAUAAGACAUUUUUAACACUUUAGUAGUAAGAGCUGACACUGAUACAGCACUUCAAGUUUACAUUUCACAUAGAUUCAUUCCAAAAUGCAUAACAACCCAAGGUACUAGUAUGAUCCCAUUUUAUAGACGGGGGAACUGAGGCACAGAAAGUCUAAGUAAUUUGCAUGCAAUUAUGCUACAACUGGCAAAUGGAGGAGCCAGAACGUGACUCUGGCAAUCAAGAUUUGGGGUUCACCCUUUUAACCCUGAAGCUGUCCCUCACCAGUUAAGCUGUCAUUUCUCAACAGUGCUGGUUCUACUAAGGGUGCCUUAUUCCCACACCUCUGAGGGCCUUCUGUACUGCUAGACUUGAGAGCUGGCUAUAGCCAUAUAUUCACAGAACCCUGAGUCCCUAAGAAGUGAAGAGGAAAAGGGUUUUUAUCAGCAGAUAGGUGCCUUGCAUCCCUGGUUGCACAUGCGAGUCAAUCUGGGUGCUUUUGAAGAACACCAUACUCAUCCCCAUUCCAGAUGAAUUAAGUUGGAAUCUGAGCGAUGGGGCCUAAACUGGUAAUUUGAAAAAUGUCUCCAAGUGACUACAGUAACCAGCAUCAAGAACCACUAGUUUAGACCAGUGCUUCUCAAGUUUUUAAUGUGCAUAGGAAUCAUCUGGAGAUCUUGUUAAACUGUAGUCUGAUUCGGUAGGUUUGGGGUGAGCAUGAGAUUCUGCAGUUCUAGCAAGCUUCUAGGUGAUGCCAAUUAUUCCAAAAAGCACACUUUGCAUGAUUAGGAUAUAGACCAGUGGGUCUCAAGGUGGGGUCCACUGACCCCUAGGGAACUCCAAGACUCUUUCAGGAAGUCCAUGAGGCCAAAACUAUUGUCACAAUAAUAGUAACUUUUAAUUUAUC
ensembl:lncRNA